rnacentral:rRNA from 1 species
AUUGAACGCUGGCGGCAGGCCUAACACAUGCAAGUCGAACGAGUGGCGGACGGGUGAGUAAUGUCUGGGAAACUGCCCGAUGGAGGGGGAUAACUACUGGAAACGGUAGCUAAUACCGCAUACCAUCGGAUGUGCCCAGAUGGGAUUAGCUAGUAGGUGGGGUAACGGCUCACCUAGGCGACGAUCCCUAGCUGGUCUGAGAGGAUGACCAGCCACAAGGGCACGGAGAAACGGGCCAGACUCCUACGGGAGGCGGCAGUGGGGAAUAUUGCAGAAUGGGCGAAAGCCGGAGGCAGCUAUGACGGGUGUAUGAAGAAGGCCUUCGGGUUGUAAAGUACUUUCAGCGGGUAGGCGUUACUAGCAGAAGAAGCACCGGCUAACUCCGUGCCAGCGGCCGCGGUAAUUC